rnacentral:rRNA from 1 species
AUUGAACGCUGGCGGCAGGCCUAACACAUGCAAGUCGAACGAGUGGCGGACGGGUGAGUAAUGUCUGGGAAACUGCCUGAUGGAGGGGGAUAACUACUGGAAAAGGUAGCUAAUACCGCAUACCAUCGGAUGUGCCCAGGUGGGAUUAGUUAGUAGGUGGGGUAAAGGCUCACCUAGGCGACGAUCCCUAGCUGGUCUGAGAGGAUGACCGGCCACACUGGAACUGAGACACGGUCCAGACUCCUACGGGAGGCAGCAGUGGGGAAUAUUCCACAAUGGGCGCAAGCCUGAUGCAGCAAUGCCGCGUGUGUGAAGAAGGCCUUCGGGUUGUAAAGCACUGUCAGCGGGGAAGCGUUACCCACACAAGAAGCACCGGCUAACUCCGUGCCAGCAGCCGCGGUAAUUC